GAUCAGAUCCCAUAAGACUGCCCUUACUUCAGAUGCCAGUUGCAAGUCUGGGGCACCUAUACUUCUGAACUACCAGCUACAACUUGGGGGUUCCUGUAACCACCUCCUUGGGUUCAAUAAUUUGCUAGAAUGGUACACAGAACUCAGGAAAGCAUUUUACUUACAUUUACCCUCUUCAGGUGUACCUUCCAUCACCUGAAUUUGUUCACUCACCCAGAAGUUCUAGAGUUUUUACAAAGCUCCAUCUCCAGCCCCCACUCCCUACCCCAAGAAGUCAGAAGUUAGGGGGUGGAGCUGAAGAGUUGCAAUCCUUUAACUACUUGGUGUUUCUGGUGACCAGGCCCCACUGGCACUAGAAAGAACAAAUGAUGAGGGUGCUGGAAAUUUCAAAAGCAAGACACAGAAAUAAUUUUAAUUUAUGAAGGGAUUUCUGCCAGCCCUUUGUUAGAAAUUCUUUUCUUUCAUGAUUUUUUUUACAUCUUGAAAGAAGGAAUUUUUUUUCCUUUAAAAAAUAAAAUUACUUUUAGUCAGUAUUCUAUUUUGCUUCUUAGCUUUCAAAGAAUAAUUCUGGUUGAGGAGAGUGGGACAUUACUCCAGCCCUCUCCUCAUCAUGCUCUGUUAUGCACCCAACCCUACCACGAGUGGCCAACACAUGCGGGAAGGCAGUGGAUAUUGAUACGAGACUUAUGUGCACCAUAUGGAAGAGAGAUAAAGAACACAAAUCCACUGCAUUGGCAGAACAUUUAAGGGUGACUGAACCUGAACACAAGAGAAGGGUUCUCUUUGCAAAGCACAACUUUCUCAUCACCUGCAGAGGAAAACAGGUCUUCAAAAUAGCCCAACUUUGAAGUUGCAAAACAAAUCACAGAUGCUUAUUCUGAUGCAGUAGCAAGAAUGCUAACAGCUUCCAAUCACUGAGUGCCUACCAAAUGCCAGGUCAAAGCACACCUUGCUGAACCUUCGAGCCACCCAAGGAGGCUGCCCUCGUCCCCAUGUUAGGGAUGAGGAGACAGGUUUUCAGAGAGACUCACUGGAGCAAUGGCAGAGUCAAGAUUUGCAGUGAGGUUUGGCUCCGAACCCAGGACUUCCUGUGACAUGA